rnacentral:rRNA from 1 species
UACGAGAGGCCCCAAACGUUAUUCGGAAUCACUGGGCUUAAAGAGUUCGUAGGCGGCGCGGAAAGUGGGGUGUGAAAGCCCUCGGCUUAACCGAGGAAUUGCGCUCCAAACUACCGCGCUCGAGGAAGAUAGAGGUGAGCAGAACUGAUGGUGGAGCGGUGAAAUGCGUUGAUAUCAUCAGGAAUACCGGAGGCGAAGGCGGCUCACUGGGUCUUUUCUGACGCUGAGGAACGAAAGCUAGGGGAGCAAACGGGAUUAGAUACCCGAGUAGU